AUUGAACGCUGGCGGCAGGCCUAACACAUGCAAGUCGAGCGAGAGGCGGACGGGUGAGUAAUGUAUGGGGACUGCCCGAUAGAGGGGGAUAACUACUGGAAAAGGUAGCUAAUAACGCAUACUAUCGGAUAACCCAUAUGGGAUUAGCUAGUAGGUGAGGUAAUGGCUCACCUCGGCGACGAGGCCUAGCUGGUCUGAGAGGAUGAUCAGCCACACGGGGACUGAGACACGGCCCAGACUCCUACGGAGGCAGCAGUGGGGAAUAUUGCACAAUGGGCGAAAGCCUGAUGCAGCCAUGCCGCGUGUAUGAAGAAGGCCCGAGGGUUGUAAAGUACUUUCAGUCGGGAGGCGGUACCGACAGAAGAAGCACCGGCUAACUCCGUGCCAGCAGCCGCGGGAUAC
rnacentral:rRNA from 1 species